AAUUUUCAACCGCCAUUAUUGUCUUUCUUUCUGCUAUCGCGACAUUUUGAAAGUUUUUUUUAUAGAUAAUAAGGCUAAAAAUGUCGGAUAAAAUAGACAUGUCCCUAGAUGAUAUCAUCAAAUUGAAUAAAAAUGAUUACCGUAUGUCACGUGGACGAGGAACAAGAGGUGCGGGAAGAGGUGGAAGGGGAAGAAGUGGAGGUACGACGGGUCGUUCACGUGGAGCUGGGGCAAUAAGAACAAGAACGAAUCGAGGAAGAUCUCGUCCUACUCCUUAUAACAGAGUAAGUAUUUUUUAUAUCGAUUGCCAGUUUUCAUUCAUAAUUUUUUUUUUUAUGAUCGAUUACCG
rnacentral:lncRNA from 1 species